UACAGAGGUCUCAAGCGUUGCUCGGAAUUAUUGGGCGUAAAGGGUAGGUAGGUGGUCUCAUUUGUCUGGGGUGAAAGCCUUGAGCUUAACUCAAGAAGUGCCCCAGAAACGGUGAGACUAGAGUCCUGGAGAGGGUCGUGGAAUUCCCGGUGUAGCGGUGAAAUGCGUAGAGAUCGGGAGGAACACCAGAGGCGAAGGCGGCGACCUGGACAGGUACUGACACUCAACUACGAAAGCGUGGGGAGCAAACAGG
rnacentral:rRNA from 1 species